ACUACGGGUUGCAGCAGUGAGGAAUAUUGGUCAAUGGCCGAGAGCCUGAACCAGCCAAGUCGCGUGAGGGAAGAAGGCCCUACGGGUGGUAAACCUCUUUUGUCGGGGAGCAAAGUGAGGCACGUGUGACUCAUCGCAAGUACCCUAAGAAAAAGCAUCGGCUAACUCCGUGCCAGCAGCCGCGGUAAUACGGAGGAUCCGAGCGUUAUCCGGAUUUAUUGGGUUAAAAGGGUGCGCAGGCGGACUUGCAAGUCAGCGGUCAAAUUGCGGGGCUCAACCCCGUACUGCCGUUGAAACUGCGGCGCUUGAGUGCGCGUGAGGUAGGCGGAAUGCGUGGUGUAGCGGUGAAAUGCAUAGAUAUCACGCAGAACUCCGAUUGCGAAGGCAGCAUACCGGGGCGCAACUGACGCUCAUGCACGAAAGCGUGGGUAUCGAACAGGAUUAGAUACCCGUGUAGUC
rnacentral:rRNA from 1 species